AGACGUAGGGGGCGAGCGUUGCUCGGAAUCACUGGGCUUAAAGGGCGCGUAGGCGGUUGAGCAAGUCUGGGGUUGAAGCCCACGGCUCAACCGUGGAAAGGCCCUAGAAACUGCACGAAUUGAGUAAGCGAGGGGAGGGCGGAAUUCCCGGUGUAGCGGUGAAAUGCGUAGAUAUCGGGAGGAAGGCCGGUGGCGAAGGCGGCCCUCUGGCGCUUGACUGACGCUGAGGCGCGAAAGCGUGGGGAGCGAACAGGAUUAGAAACCCUAGUAGUCC
rnacentral:rRNA from 1 species